rnacentral:lncRNA from 1 species
AUUUUGUGCUGCUAUAACAGAAUACCACAGAUUGAGUAAUUUAUAAAAACAGACAUUUAUUUCUUACAUUUCUAGAGGCUGGGAAGUACAAGAUCAAGGCUGGCAUCUAAUGAAGACUGCUGUCUGCUUCCAAGCUGGUACCUUGAAUGCUAUAUCCUCUGGAGGGGAAAAAUGCUGCUGCAUCCUUACAUGGCAGAAGACAGGACAAGAGGGGAGAACUCCCUUCAUCAAGCCAUUUUAUAAGGACACCAAUCUCAUUCAUGAGGGUGGAGCCCCCAUAAAUCAAUCACUUCCCAAAGGCCACACCUCCAAUACUGUUGCAUUGGGGAUUACAUUUCAACAUGAAAUUUGGAGGGGAUGAAAAUGUUCAAUUCAUAGCAGUAUCAGAAACGGGAUUUAAAUGGAGGUAGUCUGCCCCCAGAGCCCAUGUUCACCCUAGUGACAUGGUGACUGAGACAUUCAUAGGUACUCGUUACAUAUUAGUUCUCUUUCCUUUUUAGUAUAGCCCGGGGGUACCUUGCUGCCACAUUUCUUGAUUUCACUGCUGGGGGUUAGCUGGUGGUGUGGCAGGGUUCUGGAAAACACAGAAUAAAAAUAACAUACUUGGA